UUUAAAGUCUAAUCUGCCCCCUGAAAUUAUUUUAAAGGGCUGCGGUAUUUUAACCGUACAAAGGUAGCAUAAUAAUUAGGUUUUUGAUUGAAAUCUAGAAUGAAUGAUUGGACGAGAUGCAGGCUGUUUUAUAAUAAUUAAUUAAAAUUUAAUUUUUUAGUCAAAAAGCUAAAAUUUUAUUAAAAGACGAGAAGACCCUAUAAAUCUUUAUAAUAAAUUUAUUUUAAUAAAUUAUUUUAUUUAAAUUAAUAAUUUUAAUAUUAAGUUAUUUUAUUGGGGUGAUACAAAAAUUUAAUUAACUUUUUUAUUAGUAUUUUUUUAAUUAAAAAUUUAUAAAAAUAUGAUCUAUUAAUAAUAAUUCAGAGAAUAAGAUACUUUAGGGAUAACAGCGUAAUUUUAAUUUUAAGUUCUUAUUAAAAUUAAAGAUUGCGACCUCGAUGUUGGAUUAAAAUUUAAUUUAAAUGCAAAGGUUUAAAAAUUAAGUCUGUUCGACUUUU
rnacentral:rRNA from 1 species